rnacentral:rRNA from 1 species
GAUGAACGCUGACAGAAUGCUUAACACAUGCAAGUCUUUGGCGAAGCUGUGCUUGCACAGCCUAGCCAAGGCGGACGGGUGAGUAACGCGUAAGGAACUUGCCCUGCAGUCAGGGAUAACAGACGGAAACGACUGAUAAGACCUGGUAAAGUCAGGCGGACUCAUGUCCAGCCUGAUGAAAAGAGAUGCUGCAGGAGAGCCUUGCGUCCUAUUAGCUUGUUGGUGGGGUAACGGCCCACCAAGGCGAUGAUAGGUAGCCGGCCUGAGAGGGUGGACGGCCACAAGGGGACUGAGAUACGGCCCUUACUCCUACGGGAGGCAGCAGCGGGGAAUAUUGGACAAUGGGGGCAACCCUGAUCCAGCAAUUCUGUGUGCACGAUGAAGGUUUUCGGAUUGUAAAGUGCUUUCAGCAGGGAAGAAAAAAAUGACGGUACCUGCAGAAGAAGCGACGGCUAAAUACGUG